AUGAUCGCGGCAAGAUCAUUGUCGUGGAGUCCUGGAGAGCGUGCGGUCUGUUUGGCUAUGGGGGAGAACGGAGGUGCUGCACAUACGCAUGACGUCGAUGACCUGAAAGGAGAAACUACUCCAUCUGAUUAUUUUGGACUAGAUGCAUCCACCGGAGACCUGCGUUUGGAUCAAACUGAACCAACACCAUGCAGCAAGAACACGACCGGCACUCAGACGAUUGAUGCGGAUCACACGGACAAGGAAAAGGGCAGCAAACCAGUGGAAGGCGCUGAAACAGACAAAGUGUUCUGGUGGAGGAGGAGGGAUGGACAAGACGGCAAAGGAACAGAGAAGGGAAGCCAUUCAGAACAGGAGUGGACGGAAGCCCGGGGGCGAUCGAGAACGGAAGAUGCAGUCAAACUCAAGUUGUGUUCGAACCAGCUGUAG
rnacentral:rRNA from 1 species